GGGGGGGGGGGGGGGGGUGGGGGGGGGGGGGGGGGCGGGGGGCGGGGGGGGGGCGUGGGCCGGGGGGCGAGGGGCGAGGGGGGGGGUAGUCCAUCGGAACAUGUCCGGUGGGGGGGGGUCGCCCGGCGCAAUCCGGGUUCGUACCGCAUGCGGCCUCCGGACGGAGGCGGGGGACCUUGGGUCCUCGCUCGCUGCGGGUGCCCGAUCGGGGAUGAGCCCGUUGGGGGGGUAAAGGCCUACCCAGGCGACGAUCAGUAGCUGGUCUGCGAUGGCGAACAGCCACACUGGGACUGAGACACGGCCCAGACUCCUGCGGGAGGCAGCAGUGGGGAAUUUUGGACAAUGGGCGAAAGCCUGAUCCAGCAAUGCCGCGUGUGUGAAGAAGGCCUUCGGGUUGUAAAGCACUUUUGUCCGGAAAGAAAUCCUUGGCCCUAAUACGGUCGGGGGAUGACGGUACCGGAAGAAUAAGCACCGGCUAACUACGUG
rnacentral:rRNA from 1 species